GUUUACGAUCAUACCAUAGUGACUAUACGGCAUCCCGUCUGAUCUGCCAAAUCAAGCACCGUUGUGCUUCGAUCGGAGACGGCUUGGGAAUCCCCAGGGUCGUAGGCA
rnacentral:rRNA from 1 species